UAGAUAGAUAGAUAGAUAGAUAGAUAGCACUUCCUUGGCAAAGUUUGGAAAAUAUUGCAUAUCAUUCAAUAAGUGUUGGAGUAAAGAAAUGUUUACUUUAUCUAAACAUGUUUCCAUAGUUAUUU